UGCAAGAAUGCAUAUUGAGAUUUACAAGUAUCCAGCUUGGAGUGAUGUGGUUGAGAUUGAGACUUGGUGUCAGAGUGAAGGAAGGAUUGGAACUAGACGUGAUUGGAUUUUAAAGGACUGUGCUACCGGGGAAGUUAUUGGACGUGCUACAAGCAAGUGGGUGAUGAUGAACCAAGACACAAGGCGGCUUCAAAGAGUUAC